rnacentral:rRNA from 1 species
CCUACGGGUGGCAGCAGUAGGGAAUUUUGCUCAAUGGGGGAAACCCUGAAGCAGCAACGCCGCGUGGGGGAUGAAGGUUUUCGGGUUUUAAACUCCUUUUGUUAGGGAAGAUAAUUACGAAGUCUAACGCAUAAGCACCAGCUAACGCCGGGCCAGCAGCCGCGGUAAUACUGAGGGUGCAAGCGUUACUCGGAAUCACUGGGCGUAAAGGUCGCGUAGGCGGGAUAGCAAGUCAGAUGUGAAAUCCUAUGGCUUAACCAUAGAACUGCAUUUGAAACUGUUAUUCUAGAGUAUGGGAGAGGUAAGUGGAAUUCUUGGUGUAGGGGUAAAAUGCGUAGAGAUCGAGAGGAACACGCAUUGCGAAGGCGAGUUGCUAGAACAUAACUGACGCUGAGGCGCGAAAGCGAGGGGAGCAAAAAGGAUUAGAUACCCUUGUGGUC